rnacentral:rRNA from 1 species
UGAAUACGAGAUGCUAAGGCGUCGAAGUAGUGUAUGUCAUACUUCCAAAAAGCUUGCACUGUCAUAAAUAAAAAUGCCUGUACCAUAACCGACACAGGUGGGUAAGUAGAGUAUACUAAGGGGCGCGAGAUAACUCUCUCUAAGGAACUCGGCAAAAUGACUCCGUAACUUCGGGAGAAGGAGUGCCUUAUUCUUAAGGUUGCAAUAACAAGAUCCAAGCAACUGUUUAUCAAAAACACAGGUCUCCGCUAAGUCGUAAGACGAUGUAUGGGGGCUGACGCCUGCCCAGUGCCAGAAGGUUAAAGAAGUCGGUUAGCAAUCGCGAAGCUGGUAACUGAAGCCCUGGUGAACGGCGGCCGUAACAAUAACGGUCCUAAGGUAGCGAAAUUCCUUGUCGGGUAAGUUCCGACCCGCACGAAAGGCGUAAUGAUUUGGAUGCUGUCUCGGAGAGAGGCUCGGUGAAAUAGACUUGUCUGUGAAGAUGCGGACUACCUGCACCAGGACAGAAAGACCCUAUGAAGCUUUACUGUAACUUGAAAUUGAAAUUGGACUUUAUUCGCGCAGUAUAGGUGGGAGGCGUUGAUUAUAAUCUUGCGGGAUUAUUGGAGCCAUCAGUGAGAUACCACUCUUGUAAUGUUAGAUUUCUAACUUUGAAUCAUUAUCUGGUCAAAGGACAAUUUCAGGCGGGCAGUUUGACUGGGGCGGUCGCCUCCUAAAUGGUAACGGAGGCGUACAAAGGUUUCCUCUGAACGGUUAGAAAUCGUAUCUAGAGUGUAAAGGCAUAAGGAAGCUUGACUGUGAGACCUACAAGUCGAGCAGGGACGAAAGUCGGUCUUAGUGAUCUGACGGUACUGAGUGGAAAGGCCGUCACUCAACGGAUAAAAGUUACUCUAGGAUAACAGGCUGAUCUCCCCCAAGAGUUCACAUCGACGGGGAGGUUUGGCACCUCGAUGUCGGCUCAUCCAUCCUGGGGCGGUAGUACGUCCCAAGGGUUGGGCUGUUCGCCCAUGAAAGCGGUACGCGAGCUGGGUUCAGAACGUCGUGAGACAGUUCGGUCCAUAUCCGGUGUAGGCGUUAGAAUAUUGAGAGGAGCCUUCUUUAGUACGAGAGGACCGAGAAGGACAUACCUCUGGUGUACCAGUUAUCGUGCCAACGGUAAACGCUGGGUAGCUAUGUAUGGAGUGGAUAACCGCUGAAAGCAUCUAAGUGGGAAGCCCACCUC